GACGAACGCCGGCGGCGUGCUUAACACAUGCAAGUCGAACGGAAAGGCCCUGCUUUUGUGGGGUGCUCGAGUGGCGAACGGGUGAGUAACACGUGAGUAACCUGCCCUUGACUUUGGGAUAACUUCAGGAAACUGGGGCUAAUACCGGAUAGGAGCUCCUGCUGCAUGGUGGGGGUUGGAAAGUUUCGGCGGUUGGGGAUGGACUCGCGGCUUAUCAGCUUGUUGGUGGGGUAGUGGCUUACCAAGGCUUUGACGGGUAGCCGGCCUGAGAGGGUGACCGGCCACAUUGGGACUGAGAUACGGCCCAGACUCCUACGGGAGGCAGCAGUGGGGAAUAUUGCACAAUGGGCGGAAGCCUGAUGCAGCAACGCCGCGUGCGGGAUGACGGCCUUCGGGUUGUAAACCGCUUUCGCCUGUGACGAAGCGUGAGUGACGGUAAUGGGUAAAGAAGCACCGGCUAACUACGUGCCAGCAGCCGCGGUAAUAC
rnacentral:rRNA from 1 species